UACGUAGGGGGCUAGCGUUAUCCGGAAUUAUUGGGCGUAAAGAGCUCGUAGGCGGUUUGUCGCGUCUGCCGUGAAAGUCCGGGGCUCAACUCCGGAUCUGCGGUGGGUACGGGCAGACUAGAGUGAUGUAGGGGAGACUGGAAUUCCUGGUGUAGCGGUGAAAUGCGCAGAUAUCAGGAGGAACACCGAUGGCGAAGGCAGGUCUCUGGGCAUUAACUGACGCUGAGGAGCGAAAGCAUGGGGGAGCGAACAGG
rnacentral:rRNA from 1 species